rnacentral:rRNA from 1 species
CAGUCGCCGCGGUAAUACGUAGGGUGCGAGCGUUAAUCGGAAUUACUGGGCGUAAAGCGUGCGCAGGCGGUUUUGUAAGACAGGCGUGAAAUCCCCGGGCUCAACCUGGGAAUGGCGCUUGUGACUGCAAAGCUAGAGUGCGGCAGAGGGGGAUGGAAUUCCGCGUGUAGCAGUGGAAUGCGUAGAUAUGCGGAGGAACACCGAUGGCGAAGGCAAUCCCCUGGGCCUGCACUGACGCUCAUGCACGAAAGCGUGGGGAGCAAACAGGAUUAGAUACCCCCGUAGUCCCUGUCUCUUAUAA